UUAAAUUGAAGAGUUUGAUCAUGGCUCAGAUUGAACGCUGGCGGCAGGCCUAACACAUGCAAGUCGAACGGUAACAGGAAGCAGCUUGCUGCUUUGCUGACGAGUGGCGGACGGGUGAGUAAUGUCUGGGAAACUGCCCGAUGGAGGGGGAUAACUACUGGAAACGGUAGCUAAUACCGCAUAACGUCGCAAGACCAAAGAGGGG
rnacentral:rRNA from 1 species